GGGAAGUUGGCUCAGUGGUAGAGCGUUUGCCUUGCAUGCAUGAGGCCCUGGGUUCCAU
rnacentral:tRNA from 1 species